GACGAACGCUGGCGGCGUGCUUAACACAUGCAAGUCGAACGAUGAAGCCCAGCUUGCUGGGCGGAUUAGUGGCGAACGGGUGAGUAAUACGUGAGUAACCUGCCUUUAACUCUGGGAUAAGCCUUGGAAACGAGGUCUAAUACCGGAUACGACCAACCCUCGCAUGAGGUGUUGGUGGAAAGGGAUUUUGUACUGGUUUUAGAUGGGCUCACGGCCUAUCAGCUUGUUGGUGAGGUAACGGCUCACCAAGGCGACGACGGGUAGCCGGCCUGAGAGGGUGACCGGCCACACUGGGACUGAGACACGGCCCAGACUCCUACGGGAGGCAGCAGUGGGGAAUAUUGCACAAUGGGCGCAAGCCUGAUGCAGCGACGCCGCGUGAGGGAUGACGGCCUUCGGUGUGUAAACCUCUUUCAGCAGGGGAGAAGCGAAAGUGACGGUACCUGCAGAAGAAGCGCCGGCUAACUACGUGCCAGCAGCCGCGGUAAUACGUAGGGCGCGAGCGUUGUCCGGAAUUAUUGGGCGUAAAGAGCUUGUAGGCGGUUUGUCGCGUCUGCUGUGAAGCCCGGGGCUUAACCCCGGGUUUGCAGUGGGUACGGGCAGACUAGAGUGCAGUAGGGGAGACUGGAAUUCCUGGUGUAGCGGUGAAAUGCGCAGAUAUCAGGAGGAACACCAAUGGCGAAGGCAGGUCUCUGGGCUGUAACUGACGCUGAGAAGCGAAAGCAUGGGGAGCAAACAGGAUUAGAUACCCUGGUAGUCCAUGCCGUAAACGUUGGGCACUAGGUGUGGGGAACAUUCCACGUUUUCCGCGCCGUAGCUAACGCAUUAAGUGCCCCGCCUGGGGAGUACGGCCGCAAGGCUAAAACUCAAAGAAAUUGACGGGGGCCCGCACAAGCGGCGGAGCAUGCGGAUUAAUUCGAUGCAACGCGAAGAACCUUACCAAGGCUUGACAUAUACUAGACCGCCUCAGAGAUGGGGUUUCCCUUCGGGGCUGGUAUACAGGUGGUGCAUGGUUGUCGUCAGCUCGUGUCGUGAGAUGUUGGGUUAAGUCCCGCAACGAGCGCAACCCUCGUUCUAUGUUGCCAGCACGUAAUGGUGGGGACUCAUAGGAGACUGCCGGGGUUAACUCGGAGGAAGGUGGGGAUGACGUCAAAUCAUCAUGCCCCUUAUGUCUUGGGCUUCACGCAUGCUACAAUGGCCGGUACAAAGGGUUGCGAUACUGUGAGGUUGAGCUAAUCCCAAAAAGCCGGUCUCAGUUCGGAUUGGGGUCUGCAACUCGACCCCAUGAAGUCGGAGUCGCUAGUAAUCGCAGAUCAGCAACGCUGCGGUGAAUACGUUCCCGGGCCU
rnacentral:rRNA from 1 species